UCGUCGGCCAAUUGAUAUGGCAUUGUGGCGAAGCGGCAUAAAAUGGUGGCGCAAUCGUCUCUGUGCCACUCACUGUUGUCGGAGAAUAAGCACGCGGCCUGCAACUACGACUGCAGAGGCGUUAACUGUGGGAAGUGUUGCUCGUAAUGCCGCUGAAAUGCAUGAAAACCCCCGACACUUGUGGGUUAAUAUGUGCAUAUGUACAUACAUAUGUAUGUACAUACAUACAUAUAUCAGAUAUUUAUGCAGAUUUGUCUUACGUACAUAUGUAUGUACAUAAAAGUAUGUGUGACCGAUAGAAGUGAUGACGUUGAUACCCACUUUACAUUUUUUAAGAAUGAUCUAGAACGACGGAAUUUUAUCUGGAUUUCAAACUUGCCAUUCCUCGUUUUCAAUUUCUAAACGACAAAAACCUCCUGAACUCUGUCAACUGUCAAAGAUUUCCAAUGGGAGAUGCGUUGGACAUCUUAUCAAUUGGAAACGGAUGAAUAGAGCUGCAACCAAAUACACAAUGGAUUAAACUGCCGGACAAUUUCUGAAUCUGUCAUGUGGUACCCGGACAUAAAAAAUAAUUACUUGGAUCAUGACUGGCUCAGAUUAUAUUAGUGGGAUAAAAUAGAAAUGUUGAAUUUCCAGAUGAAACAAUUAAUGUCAAGGCAACGUUAUAAUUACCCAACAAUUUAUUCAGAUCCAACGACUUUAGAGUAUGGCUGUCAUUGAAACGGACUAAUCAAAAUCAGGAUAAAGACCUACAUAAAGGGCUUUUCUAUUCUAGGUGAUACGUACAACCGAUAGGUGAACAAAACUAUAAUAUUCUGUAGCAACUGGUUGCAAGAUAUGACGACAUUGACUUAGU